UACGAAGGGGGCUAGCGUUGCUCGGAAUCACUGGGCGUAAAGCGCACGUAGGCGGACUCUUAAGUCAGGGGUGAAAUCCUGGAGCUCAACUCCAGAACUGCCUUUGAUACUGGCAAUCUUGAGUCCGGAAGAGGUGAGUGGAACUCCUAGUGUAGAGGUGGAAUUCGUAGAUAUUAGGAAGAACACCAGUGGCGAAGGCGGGUC
rnacentral:rRNA from 1 species